rnacentral:rRNA from 1 species
UACAGAGGGUGCGAGCGUUGUCCGGAAUCACUGGGCGUAAAGGGCGCGUAGGCGGCCUGCUAAGUAGAGGGUGAAAUCCUGCGGCUCAACCGCAGGGCUGCCUUCUAAACUGUCAGGCUGGAGCACGGUAGAGGCAGAUGGAAUUCCCGGUGUAGCGGUGGAAUGCGUAGAGAUCGGGAAGAACACCGGUGGCGAAGGCGGGUCUCUGGGCAACAACUGACGCUGAGGAGCGAAAGCAUGGGGAGCGAACAGG